rnacentral:rRNA from 1 species
GACGAACGCUGGCGGCGUGCUUAACACAUGCAAGUCGAACGCUGAACCCGCUUCGGUGGGGGAUGAGUGGCGAACGGGUGAGUAACACGUGGGCAACCUGCCCCCGGCUCUGGGAUAACUCCAAGAAAUUGGGGCUAAUACCGGAUGUGACCGCUGGCCGCAUGGUCUGGUGGUGGAAAGGGUUUCCGGCUGGGGAUGGGCCCGCGGCCUAUCAGCUAGUUGGUGGGGUAAAGGCCUACCAAGGCGACGAUCCGUAACUGGUCUGAGAGGAUGAUCAGUCACACUGGAACUGAGACACGGUCCAGACUCCUACGGGAGGCAGCAGUGGGGAAUAUUGGACAAUGGGCGAAAGCCUGAUCCAGCCAUGCCGCGUGUGUGAAGAAGGUCUUCGGAUUGUAAAGCACUUUAAGUUGGGAGGAAGGGCAGUAAGUUAAUACCUUGCUGUUUUGACGUUACCAACAGAAUAAGCACCGGCUAACUUCGUG